UUCCGCCACGCCCUUCUCCAUCCCACCCUUCACCGCCGCCACCACGAGAGCGCGGGGCGUGGGUCUGCACUGUUCCCAAGACUGAGGACGAGGCGUGGGCAGGGCCAGGCAAGACGGUUCCUUGGGUCAGAAGAGAGAAAGAAAAGGCAGAGAGCCAGCCUGCAAUUUCAGGACCAGAAAGCAGUAGAGAUGGCCUCCAGCCUCCCAGUCUGUAACACUACCGGGUGCUGCCACUAUCAUGUUCCAUCUGAGACCUCUCCCGGAAGAACAUUUCCAUUCCUGCGGGGGACUUCCAAGAACCCAAAAUGGCCCUGAUUGUUGUUUGUUUUUUCCUUUUUUUUUAAUAUUUUUUUUAAUUUUUAUUUAUUUAUGAUAGUCACACACACAGAGAGAGAGAGAGGCAGAGACGCAGGCAGAGGGAGAAGCAGGCUCCAUGCACCGGGAGCUAGAUGUGGGAUUCGAUCCCGGGUUUCCAGGAUCGCGCCCUGGGCCAAAGGCAGGCGCUAAACUGCUGCGCCACCCAGGGAUCCCUGUUUGUUUUUUCCUAAAUAUAUUGGCCUGACUUACUCUUAAAUUCAACUUGAAUCCCAGAAAGAGCCACUGCUAAUUUUUGGAGUUCAUAUCUCAUUCCUUUAAUGACAUAUCUUAGAACGGAUUGGCAGCCUCUGUUUUUUCCUCCUUUCUGAAAAUGCUACCCUGAGCUUCAGACUUCUGGCAUAUCUUUUUAUUAUUUACGAGAAGGAAUAUGUAUAUUUGGUCUUCAUUUCAUUCCUGGCUCAAAGUUCCUAAAAAACCUUGUAAUUUCUUAAGUAAUAAGAGCACUAGGAGCAUCAUUUGUUCCAAUAUUUGGUCAUUGACUGUGGUUCCUUGGAUACAGAAGCUUCUCUACUUUACACCCUCCCACACCCCACCCUAUGUAUCUCUUCAUCUAGCUGUUCAUCUGUAUCCUUUAAUAAAUUGGUGAAUGUAAAUAAGUGUUUUCCUGAGUUCUGUGAGCUGCUCCAACAAAUAAUCAAAUCCAAAGAGAGGAGAUCCUGGGAUCCGCCAAUUUGUAGUCAAGUCAGACAGAAACUGUGGGUAACUUGGGCACCUGAUCCUUAUGAUUGGUUAUCUGAAGUGUAGUCAGUCUCAUGGGACUGUGGGACCUAACGCACUAGCUACCUCCAGGUAGAUAGUGUCAGAAUUGAGUUAAAUUGUAGGACAACCAGCUGGCAUCACAGAAAAUUGCUUUGUGGGAGGAAAAAAACCCACACAUUUGGUGUUAGAGGGCAUCAGAAGUGAAGAGUUGUAUAGAGUAGAAAAGACAUAUGGAAGGAAAGUCUGGAUUUUUCUAGUACAUAUAUUAGUCUGACUUGCUCAACUCCAAGCUGAAUCCAAGAGGGCCUAUAAGUAAUUUUUGGAGUUCACAUGUUCUCUAGAUGGAUUUGCAGCCCUUACAACCCUUGGUUUUUUCCCCAUUUUUGAAAAUUGAAGCCUAGGCCCCAGUCUUCUAGCAUAAAUUCUAUUCCCAUGAUUUCUCCAGAUCACUAGCACUGACUAAGGUAUAUUUUUAGUACCAGAAAUGUACUGGGAAUGUCAAGAGUCUUGAAAUGAUUUAUUUGGGAAGAUGUCAUCACAGUAUUAGAAACAUUCUUUUUUUUUUUUUUAAUUUGUUUUUUAUUUUUAUUUUAUGAUAGUCACACAGAGAGAGAGAGAGGCUGAGACACAGGCAGAGGGAGAAGCAGGCUCUAUACACUGGGAGCCCGACGUGGGAUUCGAUCCCGGGUCUCCAGGAUCGCGCCCUGAGCCAAAGGCAGGCGCCAAACCGCUGCGCCACCCAGGGAUCCCUAGAAACAUUCUUAAAACAGAAUUUAUAUUGCUAUUACAGUCAAACAUAACAGAUCCACAAAUAAGUUCUUUCCCAACUCAGACAUAUUCGAUCCAGCUGUCUUUCUUUUCUGACUUAAUGGCAACUCCGCUUGAUUUACUCAGGCUCAAACCUUUAGAGCCAUCCUCAUACACUUCUCUUACAUCCUGUACCCACAUGGGAAAGUUUGUUGACCCUACAUUCACGAGGGGGCAAGGUGGCGGAAGAGUAGGGUCCCCAAGUCCCCUGUCCCCACCAAAUUACCUAGAUAACUUUCAAAUCAUCCUGAAAACCUACGAAUUUGGCUUGAGAUUUAAAGAGA